rnacentral:rRNA from 1 species
UUUGGCGACCAUAGCACUUUGGACCCACCUGAUUCCAUCCCGAACUCAGAAGUGAAACGAAGUAGCGCCG